UGGGGAAUCUUGCGCAAUGGACGAAAGUCUGACGCAGCCACGCCGCGUGAGUGAAGAAGGCCUUCGGGUUGUAAAGCUCUGUCGGGAGGGACGAAAAUGCUUGAGGUUAACAGCCUCAGGAACUGACGGUACCUCUAAAGGAAGCACCGGCUAACUCUGUGCCAGCAGCCGCGGUAAUACAGAGGGUGCAAGCGUUGCUCGGAAUCAUUGGGCGUAAAGGGCAGGUAGGUGGUCUCAUUUGUCUAGGGUGAAAGCCUUGAGCUUAACUCAAGAAGUGCCCCGGAAACGGUGAGACUAGAGUUCUAGAUGGGGUCGUGGAAUUCCCGGUGUAGCGGUGAAAUGCGUAGAGAUCGGGAGGAACACCAGAGGCGAAAGCGGCGACCUGGAUAGAUACUGACACUCAACUGCGAAAGCGUGGGGAGCAAACA
rnacentral:rRNA from 1 species